GAUGAACGCUGGCGGCGUGCCUAAUACAUGCAAGUCGAGCGAACAGAUGAGGAGCUUGCUCCUCUGACGUUAGCGGCGGACGGGUGAGUAACACGUGGAUAACCUACCUAUAAGACUGGGAUAACUUCGGGAAACCGGAGCUAAUACCGGAUAAUAUAUUGAACCGCAUGGUUCAAUAGUGAAAGACGGUUUUGCUGUCACUUAUAGAUGGAUCCGCGCCGCAUUAGCUAGUUGGUAAGGUAACGGCUUACCAAGGGAACGAUGCGUAGCCGACGUGAGAGGGUGAUCGGCGACACUGGAACGGAGACACGGUCCAGACUCCUACGGGAGGCAGCAGUAGGGAAUCGUCCGCAAUGGGCGAAAGCCUGACGGAGCAACGCCGCGUGAGUGAUGAAGGUCUUCGGAGCGUAAAACUCUGUUAUUAGGGAAGAACAAAUGUGUAAGUAACUAUGCACGUCUUGACGGUACCUAAUCAGAAAGCCACGGCUAACUACGUG
rnacentral:rRNA from 1 species